rnacentral:rRNA from 1 species
GACGAACGCUGGCGGCGUGCCUAAUACAUGCAAGUAGAACGCUGAAGAGAGGAGCUUGCUCUUCUUGGAUGAGUUGCGAACGGGUGAGUAACGCGUAGGUAACCUGCCUUGUAGCGGGGGAUAACUAUUGGAAACGAUAGCUAAUACCGCAUAACAAUGGAUGACCCAUGUCAUUUAUUUGAAAGGGGCAAAUGCUCCACUACAAGAUGGACCUGCGUUGUAUUAGCUAGUAGGUGAGGUAACGGCUCACCUAGGCGACGAUACAUAGCCGACCUGGGAGGGUGAUCGGCCACACUGGGACUGAGACACGGCCCAGACUCCUACGGGAGGCAGCAGUAGGGAAUCUUCGGCAAUGGGGGCAACCCUGACCGAGCAACGCCGCGUGAGUGAAGAAGGUUUUCGGAUCGUAAAGCUCUGUUGUAAGUCAAGAACGAGUGUGAGAGUGGAAAGUUCACACUGUGACGGUAGCUUACCAGAAAGGGACGGCUAACUACGUG